GUUGCCUACGGGACGCAGCAGUGGGGGAUAUUGCACAAUGGGGGGAACCCUGAUGCAGCGACGCCGCGUGGGUGAAGGAGCGUUUCGGCGCGUAAAGCCCUAUCGGCAGGGAAGAAGAUGACGGUACCUGACCCAGAAGCCCCGGCUCACUACGUGCCAGCAGCCGCGGUAAUACGUAGGGGGCAAGCGUUAUCCGGAUUUACUGGGUGUAAAGGGGGCGCAGACGGCAAUGCAAGGCAGGAGUGCAAGCCCGGGGCCCAACCCCGGGCCUGCUCGUGGAACUGCCUGGCUGGAGGACAGGAGGG
rnacentral:rRNA from 1 species